CAGAGAAGGUGGGCUGGUCGCAGACACCUUGUUUUGGUUACUUGCUAUUCCUUCCCCCACACACCCUUUCAUUGUCCUGGUCCUUAACCUUUAACUCCUGUAAGAAGCUGGGUUUGCAGAUUUCUGAAGACAUUUUGCAGUGUGCAGACCUGUUUCACCUUUGUUCCCCAUCCUUGGGUCUGGAGAUAAAGGCGGGAAUACAGUACUCUAUGAAAGGAACAAUCAUAAACCUCAGGUGCCUCAGACUUCAAAGAAAUGGCAAACUAGGCAUCUCAUUUUAUACAUGGUCCUCUUUAAGUACACUUGUAUGUACAUAAAAUGAAAUUGUACUGAAGUAAAUCUUAUUGCUGAACGUUUGCUUUCCGGAAGAUACUUUGGUGUAAUAGUUCCUAAGAAAAUUUGUUUUUUUAAAGGACCAAAAGUGGGGUGAAUGUUUCAUGGGUAAAGACCUUUUUCGUAACGAGUGAAGGUGAAAUGAGCAGACUGUGCGACUCAGAUUCCAGCUGCGUCCCCAUCACUACCCUCGGGAGUGUGCCGGAAGGACCCCAGAGAGCUGGCCCACUGGGGGACUCUCUUUUCUGGUUGUUGGCUGAGUAUGUAAUGUCCACUCUGGGUCAUCUAAGGGCCGAGACCAAGUACUCUGUUCCUGCUGUGACCCGUGCUUCUGCUACCACGUGCUGCACAAGAGCUGGAAAGUAGGAACUGCAGCCCGGCAAGCCACGGACCCAGGCAAUCCUAAAACUGCAAAGUCACCUGUGUUGAUUCCAGCCAGCUUUUAGUAAGUAAAUCCGUGACUCUUGUAAGAAGAGAUUUCAGAAGAUGUGUACCUUCUAGAGAAUUCACAUUUAGUGAGGGGCGUGUGAAAAGGUGUACACAAUUUUAAUCUUUUUAUUUUACUAAUAGUGUAUCUUAAUG